ensembl:lncRNA
UAGCACCUAAUUGAUUUUACUUUUUUGCCCGUUCCCAGCAAAUUUUUGGAAUUGUGACAUAUACCUGAGCCAAGAAACUAGUUCAUGUGACAUCUCUGCCUGGGCCCCACCCAGAGGGUACAUUGUAACAUAUCUCUUGGCUCAUCACAUAGGUGAUGUGACACUACUUCUUCCCUGCCUUGGCCCUGCCUUCUGUGGAAAUUCUGCUAUGUCACUGGGCUCAUCACAUUGAUUAUAUGACUCCUCUCACGCCUGGGCCUUGCUACUAUGGGGUAUUGUGACAUAUCCCUGAGCCCAGAACCCAGACAAUAAAUAGGACUGUGGAGUAUACUCGGGCCAAGCACCUUGAUGAUGUGACUCUCGUGUCCCGGCCCUUAAGAAGAAUUUUGACAUAUUUCUGGGCCCAUAAACAACAUGAUGGCCCUCACUUAUUCUGCCUUGGCCUUACUUUCAGCAUGGUGAUGACUCUCCUACCUAGACUUAGCCAACAGAAGAGAUGUUUAGUGUCACAACUUGGUUUACAGCAACAGGGAAGUUGUGACGUAUCAGAGGGCCUGUCACCUAGGUGAAGAGAUUCUCCUCUUUUUCCUGGACCCUGAACCAAGUGAGGAUUUUGGCAUCUUACUGGGGCCUGCACCCAACUGAUACAACUCUCCUGCCUGAGCCAUGCCAAGAAGAGGCAUUGUGACAUAUCUAUGGCCCAUCACCUAGGUGAUGUGACUCCCCUCUUCUGCCUGGAUCCUGUACAAAAUGUGGAUUGUGACAUAUUGCUUGGCCCAACACCUAGGUGAUGUCUAAGACCAGGUUUCAGCACACCUGUAGGAUGUGACUCCUUUGCCAGAACACAGUCACAGGUGAAAAUGUGGCUCUAAUGCAUGGAUUAGGAUUAUUGUUGAGAUUGUUACUGGUGUACUUGGGUCUAACUCACACUCAUAUACACACUCAGCCAACAGUGACACUCACAUGAGUCAGAGUCAGCGACUCUCUACCUCGGCCCUGCCCAUAGCAGGCAUUGUGACACAUUGCUGAACCUAGCACUCAGCUGAUGUGACAAACCUGCCAGGCCCUGCACACAGGAGGCAUAUUGACAUAUUCCUUGUCCAGCAUUUAGUUAUGUGACUCUCCUGCCUAGUUCAUGCCCACAGGUUAAAUUUUGAAAUGUGCUUAUGUUCAGUUCACUGGCAUGAUGAUGAUUUUUAUACAUGGACCUGGCCAAAAAGAGAGAUUUUGACUCUCAUAGCUAGACUUAGAGCAACAUGUAUGGUCUCCUACUUGUAGAAAGGUCACAGAGAAUUUUGACACUCAUGCAUAUCCUCUAAAGCCCUUGGGUGUUACAGAGUGUCACAACAGGGCACAGCACAGCUGUGAGAUUGUGAAUUUUUAAGGCAAAACCAGCCAACUGUAAGAAAUGUCACCCACUCACAUGGACACAACCCACUUUUGAAGUUCUGAAUCUCACAUCCAGAAAUUGUCUGAUGAUGGAAUUGUGACUCUCAGAUGUGGAUUCUGUCUACAGGUAGAAUGGUGACUCUCUGACCAAGAUUCAGCAGUUAUGAAGCAGUGCCUCUCUUAUCAGGACACUGCUCACAGGUGGAAUUGAAGCUCUCAUGCACAAAUACAGUCCAGCAUUAAGACUGUGAAUCACAUACUUGGACCCAACUCACAGAAAUAGAGAACUCUCAUACCUGGAGCUGGAAUGUAUAUGGUAUUGUAAAUAUCAUCCCUG